rnacentral:rRNA from 1 species
GACGUAGGGCGCGAGCGUUGUCCGGAUUUAUUGGGCGUAAAGAGCUCGUAGGCGGCUUGUCGCGUCGACUGUGAAAUCCCGCGGCUCAACCGCGGGUCUGCAGUCGAUACGGGCAGGCUAGAGUUCGGUAGGGGAGACUGGAAUUCCUGGUGUAGCGGUGGAAAUGACGCAGAUAUCAGGAGGAACACCGAUGGCGAAGGCAGGUCUCUGGGCCGAUACUGACGCUGAGGAGCGAAAGCGUGGGGAGCGAACAGG